GAUUAACGCUGGCGGCGUGCAUAACACAUGCAAGUCGAACGCAGUGGGGGACGGGUGAGUAACGCGGGAGAAACCUGCCUUAGAGAUGGGGAAAGCCUCUGGAAACGGAGAAUAAUACCCAAUGCUCUAAGAUGGAAUUGAGUCCGAUUAGGUAGUUGGGUGGGUAAUGGCUCACCAAGGCAACGAUCAGUAGCCGGCAUGAGAGAGUGUACCGCCCUAUUGCGACUGAGAGCCGGCCCAGACUUUACGGGAGGCAGCAGUGGGGAAUUUUGCACAACGGGGGAGACACUGAGGCAGCGACGCCGUGUGAUUUAGAAGGCCUUCGGGUUGUAAAAAUCUUUUGUAUAGGAAUCGGUACUAUACGAAUAAGGACCGGCUAAUUACGUGCCAGCAGCCGCGGUAAUUC
rnacentral:rRNA from 1 species